rnacentral:rRNA from 1 species
UACGCAGGGGGCGAGCGUUGCCCGGAUUUACUGGGCUUAAAGGGUCCGUAGGCGGUUGCCUAAGUCCCAUGUGAAAGCCUCAGGCUCAACCUGAGGAGGUCAUGGGAUACUGGGCAACUUGAGGGCGGAAGAGGCCGGCGGAACGGCGGGUGUAGCGGUGAAAUGCGUAGAUAUCCGCCGGAACACCAAUGGCGAAGGCAGCCGGCUGGGACUCCCCUGACGCUGAGGGACGAAACCCUGGGGAGCGAACCGG